rnacentral:lncRNA from 1 species
ACGUGGGAGAAGGAACUUAAGUUCUACCAGAAGAUUAAACUAAAAGAGUAGAAAAGAGAUUUUAACGCCGAAGAAUAUUAAUGAGACGCAUAUGGUAAUACCAAGGUUGUUAAGAUAUCGGAGGAUGUAUCAAUACAUAAAGUAUGAAGUCGUCAUACAAGAGUACUCAGUUGGUGAAUCAAGCUUGGUAUAGACGGACCUGUUGAAUCCUCAGUCGCUGGACAGAAGAAAGAAAUCAGAAAGCAACGGAACCAGACUUGAUCAUGGGAAACAUCAAAGAUAUUAACUUGUUUAGAAGAUUAUGAAGAGGGUCUCAGAUAGAUCAGAAGUGUAAAGAAUAGUACUGUAAGUGAAAUCAUUCUUGGAAUGGGUGAGUGUGUGUAUUUGAGAGUAGCACCCCUGGUCCGAAUCAUAUUGGCGUGAUUGAUCGUGCAUGUUCUUGUUUGAUUGUUGCACGGUUAAUCAAGUUAACAUUGACCAGACUGUAGAAGUUACAUUCACGUAUGGCACAUGACCUAACGUUCCAAAUUUCAUGUUGCUGUUAUGGGGGAAAGCCAGAUAGAAAAGAUUGAGAAGUGAUAGUCUACGGAUACAAAAUUGUUAGAAAAAGUAUGCAGACUGCAGUUGACAAGAGUUGUGCAGAGUAAAGAAUUUGGUUAUCUUGAAAGUGGCUGCUCAGAAAAGAAAGGAUCAUGUGGGAACCGAAAUUC